rnacentral:rRNA from 1 species
CCUACGGGAGGCAGCAGUAAGGAAUAUUGGACAAUGCCCGCAAGGGUGAUCCAGCCAUGCCGCGUGCAGGAAGACGGCCCUAUGGGUUGUAAACUGCUUUUAUACAAGAGAAAACCUCCCUACGUGUAGGGAGCUGAUAGUAUUGUAGGAAUAAGCAUCGGCUAACUUCGUGCCAGCAGCCGCGGUAA